rnacentral:rRNA from 1 species
GACAGAGGGUGCAAACGUUGUUCGGAAUUACUGGGCGUAAAGCGCGUGUAGGCGGCUAAGUAAGUCGGGCGUGAAAUCCCACGGCUCAACCGUGGAAGUGCACUCGAAACUGCAUAGCUAGAGUCCUGGAGAGGAAGGUGGAAUGCUUGGUGUAGAGGUGAAAUUCGUAGAUAUCAAGCGGAACACCGGUGGCGAAGGCGGCCUUCUGGACAGUGACUGACGCUGAGGCGCGACAGCGUGGGGAGCAAACAGG